UUUCCGUAGGUGAGCCUGCGGAAGGAUCAUUAAAAAAUGUGGUACCAUUAUUGGUACUAAUUAAUCAUCCUACCCUUUGUGAAUUUGUUUGUAUGAAUUUUUUUAAAUGGGUCUUUCCCUAAGUUGGAUUGUUAGUAAAAUACAAAAAGACUUAGGGGAAUGACUUUUUUAAAAGACUUUUUUUUAAAUUAAAACUUUUUGUAUUCAUUUGUCUAAAAUUUAUUUUUAUAAUAUAAAAACAACUUUUGACAAUGGAUCUCUUGGUUCUCGCAACGAUGAAGAACGCAGCAAAAUGCGAUAAGUAGUGUGAAUUGCAGAAUACGUGAAUCAUCGAAUCUUCGAACGCAUAUUGCACUUUUUUAGUUUACUAAAAAAGUAUGUCUGUUUGAGUAUCAGUAAAAUAUUCUCACAAACAUGUAUUGUUUGUGGUUAUGAGUGUUUUACAACGAUAAACAAGUUGUUUCACUUUAAAUUCUUUUUGUAAGUUUUACCAAUUCAUAAAUUAAAAUUGGAUAAAAUUUUCCUUUAACGAGGAAUAACCUAAACAAUUUUAAAUUUUAUGGUUCGUAACAUUCAACAAGGAAUCUAUACAUAAAUAACUUGAUCUCAAAUCAGAUAAGAGUACCCGCUGAACUUAAGCAUAUCAAUAAGCGGAGGAAAAGAAACUAACAAGGAUUCCCUUAGUAACGGCGAGUGAAGCGGGAAGAGCUCAAAUUUGAAAUCUUCAAGGUUUGACCUUGACGAAUUGUAGUUUAUAGAAGUGUUUUCUGUUGGAGUUUUGGUAAAAGUUCUUUGGAAUAGGACAUCAUAGAGGGUGAGAAUCCCGUAUUUGACCAUGACUUUCCAGCUGUGUGAUACACUUUCAAAGAGUCGGAUUGUUUGGGAAUGCAGUCCAAAAUGGGUGGUAAAUUUCAUCUAAAGCUAAAUAUUGGCGAGAGACCGAUAGCGAACAAGUACCGUGAGGGAAAGAUGAAAAGAACUUUGAAAAGAGAGUUAAACAGUACGUGAAAUUGUCAAAAGUGAAGCGUUUGACACCAGUGUUGUUUUCUCGAAAAUCAAUUUAAUGAGUUCUUGUUUUUAAGUUAUUGUGACUUUAUCAGCGCAUUUCUUAUUUUACUUGACUCAUUGAAUGCACUUUUCGUUUAACAAGUCAACAUCAAUUUCUUUGGUGGUAAAAAGUUUAAAGGAAGGUGGCUUGGACUUCGGUUCAAGUGUUUAUAGCCUAUUUUCUAUGCCAUCGGAGAGAUUGAGGUCUGCAGCGUAGAUCCUUCGGGGUUAGAUACCUUUGUGCUAAGUUAUAGUUUUUUAUAGACAACUUGUUGACUAUAAUUAACCCUGUAAUUUACUCGCUUAGGCUAUUU
rnacentral:misc_RNA from 1 species